rnacentral:rRNA from 1 species
CAGGUGGUGCAUGGCUGUCGUCAGCUCGUGUCGUGAGAUGUUGGGUUAAGUCCCGCAACGAGCGCAACCCUUGUCCUAUGUUGCCAGCACGUAAUGGUGGGGACUCAUGGGAGACUGCCGGGGACAACUCGGAGGAAGGCGAGGACGAUGUCAAGUCAUCAUGCCCCUUAUAUCCAGGGCUGCACGCAUGCUACAAUGGGCGGUACAGUGGGCCGCGAUCUCGCAAGAGUGAGCCAAUCCCUCAAAGCCGUCCCCAGUUCGGAUUGAAGUCUGCAACUCGACUUCAUGAAGCCGGAGUCGCUAGUAAUCGUAGAUCAGCAAAGCUACGGUGAAUACGUUCUCGGGGCUUGUACACACCGCCCGUCACAUCACGGAAGUCGGUAACACCCGAAGUCAGCGGCCUAACCCCUCGGGGGAGGAGCUGCCUAAGGUGGGAUUGGUGACUGGGAUGAAGUCGUAACAAGGUA